UUUGAUUAAGAAAAACUCAUUAAUUUAAAUGGAAAAAACAAACAUUAAAAUAGGUAGUUUAAUUUAAUUCUCAGUAGCAUAAAAGUGUAAAUAAGUUAGAAAACUUAGGGAUAUUUUUUAAUGGGUACUUCACUUUUAAUAAUAGAGAUGAGUUUAGCUAUAAAAAACUACUUACUCAUAGACUGCCUCUCGGUGUAAUUAUUUCGAUUAUCAUUUCAUUCGCUGAGUUUUCCGAUAGUACCAAAGCUGAGAAGUGGGGUCCGUACAAUAAUUAGAGAAGUGUUACAAGCAAUAAAAAAGCAACCCCAAAAGGCUUCCAGCAUGUAUACGGAUUCCUUAAUUCCCAUUAUAUUAACCGGUUCAUAUGUGUUUUACCAUAACAUACUUUGUAUACUUCACUGCAACAACACCAUCUCUCUCACAAGAUUACUAGAAACCCUUUUGGAAGAACCGACCACUCACUCAAAGCUCCAAAACCACUCAGCAUGAAAGGAUCACCGCGAGGUAUGCACACCUCACUGGUCCAUCCGUCCAACCAUAGGAAUCAAAGGUACAACGUAGAUUGUUGCUUCUCCGUAAUAGGUUCUCAUGAGGGCAUCAUCAUUGGUUGGGUCUCUCAAUUCUAGUUUUGCACCUUAUUAUAUUAAUACUUUUACAUAAUUUUCUUUUACAAUUAAUUUUACCAUGUUAAAAAGCUUUACGCCACUACGAAAAAGACAUGUAGAGAGCUAAUCUCUCAAGACCACAAGAAUGUCUCUUCUUCGAGGUACCUUUCUUCGCCUCUCUCUUCUUUUUUACUUUCUCUUUCUUCUUUUUGAUUUUUUUUAAUAUUUUUUGGUUGUUGAGAAAUGGUGGUAGAGACUAUCAGUGCACUUGCUCUCAGAUUCUUUAAAAAUGGUGUAUACAAAUUAUUAGACCUGAGAUGGAUCGGGUAUCCAGGCAAUUUUAAGGUAUCCGGAUCCGGAUCUUUAUCCGGAUCCGGGGUUCUCGGAUAUCCGGGCGUCGGAUAUCUUUCUAAAAAUUGUAAUAUCCGGCGGAUAUCCGGAUUCAGAUCUAGAUCCUUAAAAUAAAUAAAAAGAAUAAUAUUAAUAUACAUACAAUAUUAAUAAUAAUUUUAAAAAAAUUUAAUAAUAUUUUAAAUUAUUUCUAUGUAUAAUAUUACAAAAUUUACAUAAAAUUUAUAUAUACUAUUAUAAAAAUGAAAAUAUAUAAAAUAAAAUUAGUUUUAUAUAUAGAUAUUACUAUUUUUGAAAUAAUUAUUAAUAAAACUUACGGAUCCGGAUAUCCGAACUAAAAAAUCAAGAUAUCCGGAUCCGGUUUUGACGGAUCCAACAUUUUACUAUCAGGAUCCGGAUUUGACCCCUCCGGAUAUCUGGAUUUUUGGAUCGGAUCCGGAUCGGAUCUCGGAUCGAAUCCGGAUCUCGGAUAAAAAUUUCAGGUCUACAAAUUAUGUCACUUCAGAAUCGGGAGUGAUGGGGUGGAAAUAUAUUCUCCACCACAUGCUUUCUUAUCUAAAAGUCAACUAAACUGUUAGUAACUUACAAGAUUCACAUAAAGUAUGCCUUGAAAAAAAAAACAAUACACUCAUUACAAAUUUCCACUUAGACAAACAACUACACGAACAUAAUUUACAGGUGAAACCACUUCCCCCUCCCCUCCUCCCCAACCUAACAUCAGGCUAUCAAGACACACUCUCUCUCUAACAACAUUAACGCAAUAACAAGUUGACAAUAUAGUUCAUAAAAAAAAUAUGACAAGAAGUAUAGCCAAACAUGAGAAGCAAAAUAGGUUUAAGCUGCUCGGACCCAAGUCACCACAAAUCUAAAACCUCAACAAUUAUGCUGUAAAACAACUACACAAGAGAGAUAAAAAAAUUAAACGAACCAAUAUGUAAAUACAUUUAGCAACUAGAUGUAAUAAGAAAUAUAAAACCCCGCACAAAGAGCGGAAAUACUACUAGUAUAACAGUAUAUUAGACUUUUCUCUUGUUUUAGAAAAGCACCACAGCAGUGGAUGCUCCUUCUGUUUCCACGUGUUCUCUUUUUAAACCUUCACUCUCUAUUUGUUUCAACUCUUGACAUCUGUUUUACUUUAUUUUGGUUCAUUUAUUUUUGGCCUAAAUUAUAAUUACUUUAAAGAACUCGUAGCGUCUUCUCUUCGCCGGAGUAAAACUAUCUCCAAUAGUACACAAUAAUUUUUUCUAUAUUUCACUCUAAAAUAGAGUAACUCUAUUAUAGAGUUAGAUUUUUCCCAAUGGUUCACUCUAUAAUAGAGUUAUUCUAUAAUAUAAUAGAAUAUAGUGACCCAAAUUAUAAUUACUUUAGAUAAGUCAUAGCUUUCUCCUUUCGCCGGUGUAAGGAAACAUAUUUUUUGCGACUCCUUUUCAUCUUCUUUGACGACUCCCUUUCAUCUUCUUUGACGAUGUUACACUGCGAAAAUGACAAUCAAUCAAGCUAUCCCACUAUUUUCACUACGUACUCUUUAUUAAUUAUUUAAUUCACCUUUCACCUCCUGCGUUGCAUAAAAAAAUAAAGCGUAUGAGCAACAGAGCGAAAUCUUUUGCCUUUCGAAACCCAGAGUUCGUGUCCAUUAUCACUGAAACCUCUCCACCAUGGCGUCUUCUCAAGUUCACUUUUCGGAGCUGAAGGCUGGCUGCUGCAGAGAAACUGUUCAGGUGAGACUACUUCGAUUUUGGAAGGCCCAUAAUGUGAAAAAGGCGAUGAGAUGAUGGUGAUCGACAUGCUGCUUAUUAAUGUGAAGGCUACGCUCGUCCAAACUUCUAUCAAUGUCCACAAUCUUAACACCUUCAGACACCUGUUAAGAGAAAGCUCGCUAUAUGAUCUCAAGAAAAGUUUUGGAAAAACAAUAUUUUUUUUACAAAAAUAAAAAUAAAGAACUCAAGAAAAGGAAUGAAGAAGAAGAUACAUGGACCCACUUUAUUUUGUUUGAUAGGAAGAGACUUGACUAAGUGUCCGCAGAAAUCAGAUGUUAAAUUAGUUAGGGUGAUAUCAAUUAAUUACAAACUUAUCUAGUUAGUUUAUAACUAGAAAACUAGACCCUGAUCCGCGCGCCAGCGCGGAUAUGAAUUUUUUGUUUUUGUUUAUUUAUUUAACUAAAUGAUGUAUUUGUAAUAUUUGAUGUAUUAUAUUCACCAAGUAAAUCUUUUUUUGGCA